GUUGUGAGGUUAAGCGACUAAGCGUACACGGUGGAUGCCCUGGCAGUCAGAGGCGAUGAAGGGCGUGCUAAUCUGCGAUAAGCGCCGGUAAGGUGAUAUGAACCGUUAUAACCGGCGAUACCCGAAUGGGGAAACCCAGUGUGACUCGUCACACUAUCAUUAACUGAAUCCAUAGGUUAAUGAGGCGAACCGGGGGAACUGAAACAUCUAAGUACCCCGAGGAAAAGAAAUCAACCGAGAUUCCCCCAGUAGCGGCGAGCGAACGGGGAGGAGCCCAGAGCCUGAAUCAGCAUGUGUGUUAGUGGAAGCGUCUGGAAAGGCGCGCGAUACAGGGUGACAGCCCCGUACACAAAAGCGCAUGUGCUGUGAGCUCGAUGAGUAGGGCGGGACACGUGGUAUCCUGUCUGAAUAUGGGGGGACCAUCCUCCAAGGCUAAAUACUCCUGACUGACCGAUAGUGAACCAGUACCGUGAGGGAAAGGCGAAAAGAACCCCGGCGAGGGGAGUGAAAAAGAACCUGAAACCGUGUACGUACAAGCAGUGGGAGCCCCACCACCAAAGCAUUUGCUGUACCGCGUUGACGGAGCGAAGCGACGUCAAACCGAUAAAACAGCAGUGUAAAGUGAGCCGCAGGGCGCUUUGCGCGACAGCGCAAAGGCAGGCGGUUUCGCGUAGCGAAAGCGAAUGCUUUGGGGUGGGGUGACUGCGUACCUUUUGUAUAAUGGGUCAGCGACUUAUAUUCUGUAGCAAGGUUAACCGAAUAGGGGAGCCGGAGGGAAACCGAGUCUUAAUUGGGCGUUAAGUUGCAGGGUAUAGACCCGAAACCCGGUGAUCUAGCCAUGGGCAGGUUGAAGGUUGGGUAACACUAACUGGAGGACCGAACCGACUAAUGUUGAAAAAUUAGCGGAUGACCUGUGGCUGGGGGUGAAAGGCCAAUCAAACCGGGAGAUAGCUGGUUCUCCCCGAAAGCUAUUUAGGUAGCGCCUCGUGAAUUCAUCUCCGGGGGUAGAGCACUGUUUCGGCUAGGGGGCCAUCCCGGCUUACCAACCCGAUGCAAACUGCGAAUACCGGAGAAUGUUAUCACGGGAGACACACGGCGGGUGCUAACGUCCGUCGUGAAGAGGGAAACAACCCAGACCGCCAGCUAAGGUCCCAAAGUCAUGGUUAAGUGGGAAACGAUGUGGGAAGGCCCAGACAGCCAGGAUGUUGGCUUAGAAGCAGCCAUCAUUUAAAGAAAGCGUAAUAGCUCACUGGUCGAGUCGGCCUGCGCGGAAGAUGUAACGGGGCUAAACCAUGCACCGAAGCUGCGGCAGCGACACUGUGUGUUGUUGGGUAGGGGAGCGUUCUGUAAGCCUGUGAAGGUGUGUCGUGAGGC
rnacentral:rRNA from 1 species